UACGUAGGGUGCAAGCGUUGUCCGGAAUUAUUGGGCGUAAAGAGCUCGUAGGCGGCUUGUCGCGUCUGCUGUGAAAACUCGGGGCUCAACCCCGAGCCUGCAGUCGAUACGGGCAGGCUAGAGUCCGGCAGGGGAGACUGGAAUUCCCGGUGUAGCGGUGAAAUGCGCAGAUAUCAGGAAGAACACCAGUGGCGAAGGCGGCUCUCUGGAACGGUACUGACGCUGAGACGCGAAAGCGUGGGGAGCGAACAGG
rnacentral:rRNA from 1 species